GGCAUUCCUUAGUACGGCGAGUGAACCGGGAAGAGCUCAAAUUUGAAAUCUGGCUGUCUUCGAUAGUCCGAGUUGUAAUCUAUAGAAGCGUUUUCCGUGCUGAACUGUGUCUAAGUCCUCUGGAACGAGGUAUCAAAGAGGGUGACAAUCCCGUACUUGACACAAUCAUCAGUGCUCUGUGAUACGUUCUCUACGAGUCGAGUUGUUUGGGAAUGCAGCUCAAAAUGGGUGGUAAAUUCCAUCUAAAGCUAAAUAUUGGCGAGAGACCGAUAGCGAACAAGUACCGUGAGGGAAAGAUGAAAAGCACUUUGGAAAGAGAGUUAAACAGUACGUGAAAUUGUUAAAAGGGAAACGAUUGAAGUCAGUCGUGUUUAUUGGAUUCAGCCGGUCUUCGGUGUACUUCCUUUAAACGGGUCAACAUCAGUUUUGUUCGGUGGAUAAAGGCAGUAGGAAUGUGGCUCCCUCGGGAGUGUUAUAGCCUAUUGUCACAUACACUGGAGGAGACUGAGGACUGCAGCUCGCCUUUUUGGCCGGGGUUCGCCCACGUUCGAGCUUAGGAUGUUGACAUAAUGGCUUUAAACGACCCGUCUGA
rnacentral:rRNA from 1 species